rnacentral:rRNA from 1 species
GAUGAACGCUGGCGGCGUGCCUAAUACAUGCAAGUCGAGCGAACGGACGAGAAGCUUGCUUCUCUGAUGUUAGCGGCGGACGGGUGAGUAACACGUGGAUAACCUACCUAUAAGACUGGGAUAACUUCGGGAAACCGUAGCUAAUACCGGAUAAUAUUUUGAACCGCAUGGUUCAAAAGUGAAAGACGGUCUUGCUGUCACUUAUAGAUGGAUCCGCGCUGCAUUAGCUAGUUGGUAAGGUAACGGCUUACCAAGGCAACGAUGCAUAGCCGACCUGAGAGGGUGAUCGGCCACACUGUGACUGAGACACGGUCCAGACUCCUACGGGAGGCAGCAGUAGGGAAUCUUCCGCAAUGGGCGAAAGCCUGACGGAGCAACGCCGCGUGAGUGAUGAAGGUCUUCGGAUCGUAAAACUCUGUUAUUAGGGAAGAACAUAUGUGUAAGUAACUGUGCACAUCUUGACGGUACCUAAUCAGAAAGCCACGGCUAACUACGUG